GGAAACUGGGUCUAAUACCGGAUAGGACCAUGCUUUAGUGUGUGUGGUGGUAAAGUUUUUUCGGUGUAGGAUGAGCCCGCGGCCUAUCAGCUUGUUGGUGGGGUAAUGGCCUACCAAGGCGGCGACGGGUAGCCGGACUGAGAGGUUGGUCGGCCACAUUGGGACUGAGAUACGGCCCAG
rnacentral:rRNA from 1 species